GUGAUCAUACCAGUACUAAUACACUGGAUCCCAUCAAAACUUCGAAGUUAAGUGUGCUUGGGUGAGAGCAGUACUACGAUGGGUGACCCGUUGAGAAGUCCUUGUAUUGCACCU
rnacentral:rRNA from 1 species